rnacentral:rRNA from 1 species
AAAAACGACCCGCGAAUCGUCAUUGCGUAGUAGACAGAGCCCGUGAGCACCUAACGCUCAUGGGGCUCGCGUCGCGUCGGCGCGGGUGUACUCGAGACCCGCGUCGUACCGACGGACAAACAACGUCAGCACGGAUCGUGCCAAGGAGCCGCAUGGAGAGAAUCGUCGUCCCACGCCUUUGAUAGUCCCCGAUGUGGGACGGGGGACGUACGCAAUCUCUAAUCAAGUCUAAACGACUCUCGGCAACGGAUAUCUCGGCUCUUGCAUCGAUGAAGAACGUAGCGAAAUGCGAUACUUGGUGUGAAUUGCAGAAUCCCGUGAACCAUCAAUUCUUUGAACGCAAGUUGCGCCCGAAGCCACACAGGCCGAGGGCACGCCUGCCUGGGUGUCGUGAAUCCCCUUGCCCCUGGGCACCCGCACGAGCAUCGGCGGGGAUAUACGCUGGGGCGCAGAAUAUGGUCUCCCGUGGGAUCGGCAUGCACGGCAUGUCGAGGUGCGGUUGGCCGAAAAUCGAGCAUGGCGGUGACGGGCACCACGGCGUUCGGUGGAUCGAAUGAGAUUGGCUGCGCCGUGGGCUCGGCAUGCGGCGGGCUCCGGACUUUGAAUUUCCCCGAGUGCGAUCCCAGGUCAGGCGGGGCUACCCGCUGAGUUUAAG